rnacentral:lncRNA from 1 species
CUCCAGCUCCGCCCUCUCACACGUGGUCACUGCCUGGGAGACUUUGCAAAUAGUUACCACUCUGCACCUCAGAAGAGCCCUGACAGUGAGACAGACAGGGGCAGCUUUGAUAGCCUCAUUUUGCAGGUGACCAGGCAGAGAUGACCAGAUGGUCACUGUCUUGCUCAGGCUCCUGCUGAAGCCACCGUAGAGUGGGAACUGGGACCGGGGUGAUAAGGUUCCCUUUCCAUUAUUUGGAGAAUUCUUUCCUUACAUAUUUGGCAAUGCUUUUUUUUUUUUUUUGAGCUUCAGUACAUGACUGUGUAUCCUAGUUGCUGGUUUUUAGUUCUCUAUGCGAGCCGCUGCCACAGUAUGACAACUGAUGGAUGGAUGGUGUGGAUCCACGAUGGGGAAACGAACCCGGGCCAUGGCGGGACCUGAAAUUGGCCACCCCAAGAUAUAUCUCUUUGGCAUCAGGAUUAUUUGAGGCUGGUUGCUUUUGAUGAACUGGGACAGGGAAGGAGGCUCUGAGGAAUGGAACUUGCCCUUUGUUGGGACACUUACAUUGGUAAGGUAAAUCUCUAUUUGUAAAAGGUGCCUCCCUCUCUGUACCAGGAAGAAGAAAGGAGAUGACCUAUUCUCUAGAAACUCUUGGUCAAUGCCAAAGGCAAGGACUUAAAUCUGCAUUUUAUUGUGCUUGUCUGGAACUUCCUGUAACUGACUUCCCUCCCCCUCCCAACGCUGGCAUUUCUUUAAGGAUUAAGCAUCUUUCCUUAGGCUAGGAACUGAUUGCUGAGCUCACCUGUGACCACCCAGCUCCAGACAAUAGACUUGCCUCCUGCUAUGCCCUCCGAGAUAGCAGACCAUUACCUACUGUGUCCAUCAAGCACUGUGCCAACAGGGCAAUCUUGUGACUAUUGUGGGAGGGACAUUUCAAUCAUAUGUGAAACACCCUGUUUGGGGGUAUAUAACCACUCUGUGCACCCCACUUCUGUGGUGCCCUUUCUUCCUUCGGGAAGAAAGGCCCUGGGCCAUGGUUCCUCAUAAAGCUUUGUUUAAUUUUCUCUUGCUGUUCUGUCUCAUGUGAAUUUAAUUCCUUCUCCGGCCAGACGAACCCCCAUUUGGGAAGAGGAAAUGUCUUCCUUCCCUACACCUUCAUCAUAUAUGAAAUUGCCAUAUAUACUUAGGUCUAUUUUUGGGUUUUCUAUUCUGGAUCAUUGGUCUGCCUGCCUAUCAAUGAUAUAAUAGCACACCAUACUAUAAUAGUCAUAGACUUUAUAAUAUAAUAUGUUUGUAAUACGUCUUAGUAUCCAGUAGUUCUAGCCCCCACCUCAACAUUACUCUUUGUUUUUCAGGGCUUUCUCGGAUGUUCUUGCUUUUUUAUUCUUCCAUAUCAACUUCAUCAUCAAUUUGUUUAGCUCCAGAAAAAAAAAUCCUGAUUGAAACUUUAUAGGCAUCACAAUAAACAUCGUUAUGAUUCUGAGUUUUUCUAUCUAUCAUGUCUCUCUAUCGGUUCAAACUAUUUUUGUGUUUGGAGUAUUUUAUAGGUUUUGUCAUACAGGUUAUACAUAUCUCUUAUUAGUUUAGUGCCUAGGUAUUUUAUCUUACUUUUUUUCCCCCUUUUGUUAUUGUGAAUGGGUUUUUCUUUCCCUUCCCUUGUAUCUUUGAAUUGGUUAUUUUGUAUAUGGGAAGUCUACUGCUUUCUGCAUAGAAUCAGUCAAGAUCUAGUCAGGAGACAGAAAUAGUACCAAUUAUUUCAAAAGAGAUUUUUUAAUACGAAGAAUUGUUAACUAGUAUGAAGGUGUUAAGCAGGUAACUAAAGAGGUGAAAAUAGAACCCCAAGGUAUCACAGAGGAAGAAACAGCAGGAAGUGGCUACCACCCCUAGGGGUGGGUAGAAAGGGAAGAGGAUG